rnacentral:rRNA from 1 species
UGGGGAAUAUUGGACAAUGGGCGAAAGCCUGAUCCAGCCAUGCCGCGUGAGUGAUGAAGGCCUUAGGGUUGUAAAGCUCUUUCGCCAGGGAAGAUAAUGACGGUACCUGGAAAAGAAGCCUCGGCUAACUCCGUGCCAGCAGCCGCGGUAAGACGGAGGAGGCUAGCGUUGUUCGGAAUUACUGGGCGUAAAGCGUGCGCAGGUUGUGAGUUCAGUUGGAUGUGAAAGCCCGGGGCUUAACCUCGGAUGUGCAUCCAAUACUGGCUCGCUGGAGGUUGGAAGAGGAGAGUGGAAUUCCCAGUGUAGAGGUGAAAUUCGUAGAUAUUGGGAAGAACACCAGUGGCGAAGGCGGCUCUCUGGUCCAUACCUGACACUCAUGCACGAAAGCGUGGGGAGCAAACAGG